CACAUGUACCGGAUGUUGAUACAGUCUGUGGAACAGCUGUGAAAGAACAAUAAAGGUGACGCGACAUCGACAGGGUCGACGACAAAAACAAGGGGGAAAUACAACGAGGCAAGUUUUAACAUUCGUGUAGACACAGAACUCCGAAAAUCACAGAUUCACGGGUUCUUGUUGAAUCUGAAGACUGGGCGAGUUAAGGCUGUGAAAAUGAACAUGCGAUAGUGACAGUGUGGCUCCAGAGGUUGCCGUGGUGACAGUGUCCAAGUCAGAGUCCAAACUGUCAAAACUAACAGGAGUGGAUCAACAAUACUCAGAUCCAGAAUGGUGGGGCAAAUUGUGAGUCUAUUUCAACCAUGCUCGCUCUCCCUUCUACCCCCGCUCACUUUCCCCACUCCCUCCCUCGCUCCUUUCACCCUCUCUUGAAGUGCCUAGUGUGGAGACGGGCGGUCAAUGGGAGCAACUCAGGAGCACUCUUCUCCAAUGCGCUGGCACGAGCGGCCCACCUUGCGGUCCAGCUUCACCAUCUUGAGGACGGCCUCCUCGCGCCCACGCCCCAGGUGGUCGAACAGGCAGUCGUGCUGCUCAGUACUUACCGCAGCGACAGGAGCCCAGUUCCUGCUGUACCAGCUCCAGUUUGGUUUGGCAGCGAUAGCAGCGCCGGCGGUUUUUCUGCUUGGGUCCUGGGCUAGGCUCCUCGCUAACCGCCUCCCCCUCCUCAGAGUCCCCCCGUGCCCGUUUCUCCGGUGACGCCUCGCUCUCCAGCCCUGAAGCUGAAAGAACAGAAGGUUACACGGUGUCAGAGUCCAACGUACAGUUUUGCACAGACACAGGGAGCAGGAGCAAGGCUGUACCUGAUUCGCAAGGACGUUUUUUGGGCGUACAGAGGGUACCUUGGGCUGUUUCUGUGCAUGAUAAUAGUUCUGUGGAGAGAGAAAGAAAAAAAAAAAAGUGUAAGACAGGAAACAUUCCUCAUUGAUCAAGAGCCCAGAUGUGUGUCACCUAGACCAAGAAGCAGGGAAUUAGAUACAGCUUUGGAGACAAAACAAUCUUGAAUUUAAGUCCUUGUGGCAAUGUUAUGUAAUAAGAUGCUCAAGUAACUUCAAAAUCCAUAUUAAAAUCCUGACAUGCCAA